CUACGGGCGGCACCAGUGAGGAAUAUUGCACAAUGGGGGGAACCCUGAUGCAGCAACGCCGCGUGGAGGAUGACGCAUUUCGGUGUGUAAACUCCUUUUAUAUGUCAAGAAAAUGACGGUAGCAUAUGAAUAAGCACCGGCUAACUCCGUGCCAGCAGCCGCGGUAAUACGGAGGGUGCAAGCGUUACUCGGAAUCACUGGCGUAAAGGACGCGUAGGCGGGUUGGAAAGUCAGGUGUGAAAUCCUACAGCUUAACUGUAGAACUGCACUUGAAACUUCUAAUCUAGAGUAUGGGAGGGGGAGAUGGAAUUAGUGGUGUAGGGGUAAAAUCCGUAGAUAUCACUUGGAAUACCUAAAGCGAAGGCGAUCUCCUGGAACAUUACUGACGCUAAGGCGUGAAAGCGUGGGGAGCAAACAGGAUUAGAUACCCCUGUAGUC
rnacentral:rRNA from 1 species